rnacentral:rRNA from 1 species
CAAGCAGCGGAGCAUGCGGCUUAAUUCGAUGCAACGCGAAGAACCUUACCUAGACUUGACAUAUACGGAAAACAUGCAGAGAUGUAUGGUCCUAACGGGCCGUUUACAGGUGGUGCAUGGUUGUCGUCAGCUCGUGUCGUGAGAUGUUGGGUUAAGUCCCGCAACGAGCGCAACCCUCGUUCUAUGUUGCCAGCACGUAAAGGUGGGGACUCAUAGGAGACUGCCGGGGUCAACUCGGAGGAAGGUGGGGAUGACGUCAAAUCAUCAUGCCCCUUAUGUCUAGGGCUGCACGCAUUCUACAAUGGCUGGUACAGAGGGCUGCGAUACCGCAAGGUGGAGCGAAUCCCAAAAAGCCAGUCUCAGUUCGGAUUGGGGUCUGCAACUCGACCCCAUGAAGUUGGGGUUGCUAGUAAUCGCAGAUCAGCAACGCUGCGGUGAAUACGUUCCCGGGCCUUGUACACACCGCCCGUCACGUCACGAAAGUCGGUAACACCCGAAGCCGGUGGCCUAACCGUAA